rnacentral:rRNA from 1 species
UACGUAGGGGGCAAGCGUUAUCCGGAUUUACUGGGUGUAAAGGGAGCGUAUACGGUGUGGCAAGUCUGAUGUGAAAGGCAUGGGCUCAACCUGUGGACUGCAUUGGAAACUGUCAUACUUGAGUGCCGGAGGGGUAAGCGGAAUUCCUAGUGUAGCGGUGAAAUGCGUAGAUAUUAGGAGGAACACCAGUGGCGAAGGCGGCUUACUGGACGGUAACUGACGUUGAGGCUCGAAAGCGUGGGGAGCAAACAGG